rnacentral:misc_RNA from 1 species
AGCAUCAAAAUUCCGAAAGAAAAAGCCUUGAGAAGCGGCAUAACCAUGGACUAUCACAAGAGUGGGCGAGUCCUCUUUGCUAUUGAAGGUAACAGUGUUAAUGAACCGUGGCUCAUUGCUUGUAGAACGAAGCCGCCUCUUUUUGGACCCUGGAGGGCCUGAACCAAUAUUAACUUGUUCUCGAACAUAUGGAGUCCUUAAAUUCCCGCGAUUCAAUCAUCAACAUUCAAAUCACAAAAUCGAUGCAAUCAAACAAAUUCAUCUUCGGCUUUGAUUAUAUAUUUGAUUUCAGUCAAGGUUUCAUAUAUUAAAAUUAGCGCAGAAAAAAGCACAGGAAAUUACUUGACGAGAGAGAGAAGGCGUUUCUCGGCCUCGAUGAUGUGGUCGGUGGUAGUGUGGAUCCAACGGAGAACAGGGGGCCACGGUGAUCUUGUUUUGGCCGGUGAUGAUGAUGAUGUUGAUGUAGAUGUUGCGGUGGCAGCAGCAGCAGAUGAUGAUCCUAGCUCUUCCGCCAUUUUCAUAUUGAGCUAGUCAGCUAGAUACCCGUUGGCGAAGUAAAUUCAUAUAUCCGAU